rnacentral:rRNA from 1 species
GAUGAACGCUGGCGGCGUGCCUAAUACAUGCAAGUAGAACGCUGAAGGAAGGAGCUUGCUCUUUCCGGAUGAGUUGCGAACGGGUGAGUAACGCGUAGGUAACCUGCCUGGUAGCGGGGGAUAACUAUUGGAAACGAUAGCUAAUACCGCAUAACAGUAGAUGUUGCAUGAUAUCUACUUAAAAGGUGCAAUUGCACCACUACCAGAUGGACCUGCGUUGUAUUAGCUAGUUGGUGAGGUAACGGCUCACCAAGGCGACGAUACAUAGCCGACCUGAGAGGGUGAUCGGCCACACUGGGACUGAGACACGGCCCAGACUCCUACGGGAGGCAGCAGUAGGGAAUCUUCGGCAAUGGACGGAAGUCUGGCCGAGCAACGCCGCGUGAGUGAAGAAGGUUUUCGGAUCGUAAAGCUCUGUUGUAAGAGAAGAACGAGUGUGAGAGUGGAAAGUUCACACUGUGACGGUAGCUUACCAGAAAGGGACGGCUAACUACGUG